UACGGGGGGGGCUAGCGUUGUUCGGAAUUACUAGGCGUAAAGGGCGCGUAGGCGGUCUAUUAAGUUGGAUGUGAAAACUCUGGGCUUAACCCAGAGCCUGCAUUCAAAACUGAUAGGCUGGAGUUCUGGAGGGGAUAGCGGAAUUCCUGGUGUAGCGGUGAAAUGCGUAGAUAUCAGGAGGAACACCGGUGGCGAAGGCGGCUAUCUGGACAGAAACUGACGCUGAGGCGCGAAAGCUAGGGGAGCAAACAGG
rnacentral:rRNA from 1 species